GAUGAACGCUGGCGGCGUGCCUAAUACAUGCAAGUCGAGCGAACGGACGAGAAUCUUGCUUUUCUGAUGUUAGCGGCGGACGGGUGAGUAACACGUGGAUAACCUACCUAUAAGACUGGGAUAACUUCGGGAAACCGGAGCUAAUACCGGAUAAUAUUUUGAACCGCAUGGUUCAAAAGUGAAAGACGGUCUUGCUGUCACUUAUAGAUGGAUCCGCGCUGCAUUAGCUAGUUGGUAAGGUAACGGCUUACCAAGGCAACGAUGCAUAGCCGACCUGAGAGGGUGAUCGGCCACACUGGAACUGAGACACGGUCCAGACUCCUACGGGAGGCAGCAGUAGGGAAUCUUCCGCAAUGGGCGAAAGCCUGACGGAGCAACGCCGCGUGAGUGAUGAAGGUCUUCGGAUCGUAAAACUCUGUUAUUAGGGAAGAACAUAUGUGUAAGUAACUGUGCACAUCUUGACGGUACCUAAUCAGAAAGCCACGGCUAACUACGUG
rnacentral:rRNA from 1 species